rnacentral:rRNA from 1 species
CGGGACGGGUGAGUAACGCGUGGGUAACCUGCCUCAUACAGGGGGAUAACAGUUAGAAAUGGCUGCUAAUACCGCAUAAGCGCACAGGACCGCAUGGUCUGGUGUGAAAAACUCCGGUGGUAUGAGAUGGACCCGCGUCUGAUUAGCUAGUUGGAGGGGUAACGGCCCACCAAGGCGACGAUCAGUAGCCGGCCUGAGAGGGUGAACGGCCACAUUGGGAUUGAGACACGGCCCAG